GCCUUAGUGGUGGAAUGGCAGACACUGCGGACUCAAAAUCCGUCGGAGAAAUCCAUGCAGGUUCAAGUCCUGUCUAAGGCACCA
rnacentral:tRNA from 1 species